GAUGAACGCUAGCGGUAUGCUUAACACAUGCAAGUCGUACGGGAGUUUUUAACUCAAGUGGCGGACGGGUGAGUAACACGUGAGAAUUUACCUUUAGGAGGGGGAUAACAAUUGGAAACGAUUGCUAAUACCCCAUAUGCUUUUUUAAGUGAAACGGAUUUAUUCGCCUAAAGAAAAGCUCGCGGCUGAUUAGCUAGUUGGUAAGGUAAUGGCUUACCAAGGCGACGAUCAGUAUCUGGUUUGAGAGGAUGAUCAGACACACUGGAACUGAGACACGGUCCAGACUCCUACGGGAGGCAGCAGUGGGGAAUUUUGGACAAUGGACGCAAGUCUGAUCCAGCCAUUCCGCGUGCAGGAUGAAGGCCCUCGGUUGUAACUGCUUUGUACGGAACGAAAGGUUACUA
rnacentral:rRNA from 1 species